CAGCCGCCGCGGUAAUACGUAGGGUGCGAGCGUUAAUCGGAAUUACUGGGCAUAAAGCGUGCGCAGGCGGUUUUGUAAGACAGGCGUGAAAUCCCCGGGCUCAACCUGGGAAUGGCGCUUGUGACUGCAAAGCUAGAGUGCGGCAGAGGGGGAUGGAAUUCCGCGUGUAGCAGUGAAAUGCGUAGAUAUGCGGAGGAACACCGAUGGCGAAGGCAAUCCCCUGGGCCUGCACUGACGCUCAUGCACGAAAGCGUGGGGAGCAAACAGGAUUAGAUACCCGUGUAGUCCCUGUCUCUUAUAC
rnacentral:rRNA from 1 species